CACCAUGAGGCAAUGUUUCAGCUGCCCCUGCAUUCCUUACCUCCCAUUGUUUCUUUCUCUCUCUCCACCUCCCCUUCCCCCAACAGCCAAGGUUAGGAGCACAGACCCCAUGGUGAGAAUUCUAAGUUUGAUCCCAUGUCCAGGACUCACAUAGAUCCUCCAUCCAGGGUUUUAAGAAGACUCACAUUUGUUCUCCUGAGCACAACAGAAAAUGAAUACUGGAUGAAUGCAAAACCAACAUAGGGAUAGUGCUAAUCACCUGAUACCUCUAAGCAACCAGGUGUUUCUUUGAGAAGCCAGAAGCUGAUAACCUGGACUUGCUAAUCUAACCCCCAGUCCAUGUUCUUUGUAGUGGAAGACUCUGGGUGGAGAUUCUUUCCACUGGGAGUGCUCCUGCCUGACUGCAUCCACUUAACCCACUCUCCAAGAUCUAGAAUCAGAUUUCAACCAUAUGGAAUCAUCCACGAUGCAGCAGAUGGGUUUACAAGUCUCUUGGUCUCUUCGUGUAACUAACAGCCAAGAAGUCUAAAGCUUGCAUUGUUUACAUGGAAGAUGUUUCUUGCUCUUCUCUUGCCCGUUCCCACGCCAUACCAUCAGAACUUGCCACCUUUUUUGUUUUUUCAGUGCAGUUCUUUAACUGGGAUCCUCUGCACAUAGACUCCAUCCAACUAUUUCCUCCCCCUAUCAGUGGCUACCUCGCUAUAAGUUUAGCUCUACGAUUUACAGCUUUUUCAUAGUUGAUGCCUGAAUUGUGUUUCACAACAACCCUAGGAAGUAAAAAAAGAGUGAUAUUGUCAUUCUUCUCUUAUGGGCAGAGAGCCUGAGGUGCAGAGAGGCUUACUACUGAGAGAUGCUGCAAGAAUGGCUCAUCUGACUCCAAGUCCAGUGCUCUUUUUCGAUGCCAUGCAGUCUUUUCUUCAUAGAGGCAAACUGCCUAGAGCCUGAGGGAACUUCAAGAGAUUUCUAUCUUGCAGUGAGAUAACAAAGACCCAGAGAAGGCACCGAGGGGACUUCCUCAUGACUAUAUCUGUCAUUGCUAUUAUUCCACCUCUGACCCUCAGAAGUCUCCAUGUGAGCUGCUUCUGUGUAUGUGGCCUGCAUUUUGCUAGGGAGCUGGGAGAUACAGAAGAAAUUUGAAUAAUUCUCUGACAGUUAAGGAACUUACUAACAAGCAAGGGAGAUAAAAAUUAAUGUAUUAAAAUCCUUAAAACAGCUCAAGGGAACAUGGGAGGCAUUCUCUCUAAGACCAAAAUUUCUUAGACUCUGAA